UGCUGAUUACAUUGGCAAGUUUGUCAUUCCUGUGAACUUCAUGAAGUCUUGGCCUCCUAACCAUCUUGCCAUUCAGUUUGCUUCUAUACAAUACAUUGACUGGAGGAAAGCACACGAAGUACAACAAGGUUCGCGUGAAAGUGAUGGCGAAGAAGAAGAAAGUGUUCGUACUUGGGAGACUCGCUCUGUAGAACGGUUGCCAAUGAUAUCUACGGCAUCUUGAGGCAGUGCAAGGAAGUGGCAUUUGGGAAUGCGGCCAAUCCACAGGCCCUUGUUGCACAAGCGGACAGUGCUACGCCUUUACUGUGCCCAGAUCAUCGGCCUUUCAUUGUAAUUAGUGCCCACCCCCAAGACAAAGAAUUU